CGGUGUAGACACAACAAAAACUAUUUGACAAUAAAGAUGCGUCAUGAAAACCGCAAGUUCUGGGAUAUACCUAUAAUCAUGACUCAACACUAAAUGCAAUACUCGCGGAACAACAAUGCACAGUAAUUUGUACACAAUGUGAAGUGCAUGACCACAGUUGUGUGUAUGGUAGAUAUGAGUGUACUAUAUCUAAUCAGUUGUAUUCGGAUCGUACACAGCUGUGGUAAAUCGGCCGAAGGCGGUACACGCCUACUGGGGCGUGUUGCAGUAACGCCCAUGCCAAAUCACCCGCACGCUUUAUGUUCAAACACAAUACCAUAGGACCACACGGCAGGCUUAUUGGGGUGUACACAGUGAGCCGGAUUGAGCCCAUUAUGGAGUCAUCCUUUACGAUAGCACUGCCCAGCUCUUUUAGCCACCAACCAGGCUAAGUCACUUAUGACGGACAAAGAGGACAAUAGCUAGCCUCUCCGAGACCAGCUAACAAAAGACAGGUGACUUUGCCAGAGGUGAAUAAGACCCCCUCCCUUAACUACGCCCCCUUCACGGAUUCUGGUUGACAGUCUGUUCCUUUGGUGUGGUAUAUUCUAGUAUGAUUACAUGAGCCGUAUAAGGAAACGCGCGUGUUUCGUAUUCAUUCGUAAGCUCAGAUUGCAUCCGCCGUGUAGAGCCGGAAGAAAUAACACGAGUGAAGUGAAAGGCACGAAAGGAGGAAAAUGACAAUCGCUUGACGUCGCUUGUUCAAGGUCGUAAAGCGUUUCAGUAUGACAAAGAUUACGUCACAGUCACAUGUUUCAGAUGUGAUUCGUUUUUUUUUGCGGGGGUUUUGAUUUAUUUGAAAUGGCUGCCAAAAAUACGUCAGGUGGAUUCACUGAGAUAGAAAAUGCCAAAAAAACCCAGUUAAUUUAAUGAAUUUAUCUUUUGAGUACUUAAACUAUCCCAUUGAUCGAAUCCAUAGCUAUGCAGGUCUAGAUUUCUCGUGGUUGUAACAUUGAUAGCACUUUUGAAGAAAAAAAACAACUGUAGAAAAAAAACCACUGUAACACCAGACUGACUACAGGCAAGUGCAUACAUUUGAACUGUUAAUUGUUAGUUCUUUUAACUUAAACAACCUUUACGGGUCAACUGUUUAUUGUGAAGCGGAAAACAAAGAAGUUGAAAUUUGUAUUGUUAAGAGUAUGCAUAAUACCAUUGCAUUAAUCACAAUGCUUGCACUUUAUGUAUUGUUAGUUGCUAGUUAAACAAUAGUUUUUGUAAACUGUCGUAAUAUCAGAUUCAAUUUCGAUUUCGUGCGUUCAAGGAAUUGCCGUGUCAUGUUCCAUUAUUCAAUGCCGAAAGGUCACUUUACCUUGCGGCUUAGUAUUACGUAUUACGCCCUUCAUAACAAUAGCAAAAGAAAGCAAAAGUACUCAUGAGGACAAAUGAAGUUCUGCUUCUAUAAAACAAAUGUCAAUGUAUAAUUAUUAAUAUUACAUAACAUUCUGUUCGCUUCCUUCUGCUGUCCAUAUCACUCAUGAUUAUUCUUAGUUAACUUUCGUUUGUACUGUUGGCGCAGAGCCACAUUUCAACUUCGUCCCAAAAGCGAAGAGACAUCCGUACCCUGCAGAUGAAACAAUACUCGGGGAAGGAUCCAUAUUUCUUCUUGUUCCACUGAGCUCGGUUUGAUACGUUUGUGAGUUCGAAUCAGUUGUAAAACAGUACCAUCAAGGACAACGUCAGAAGACCAUAUUUUCUUCAUUCAUUCAUUUUUACUGGCUCCAGAGGGCCGACUUACAACCUUGUUGGCGCAUAACUCGCUGACUGACUGACUGAAUCACUGACUAACAGACUGUCACUUGUAAAAGAGUAUCCGAAAGAGAGAUGUGAUCAACAAAAUAAUGGCUAAAGGAAUUAAAGUGUCCACGAUUUCACUAGAGAUAGGGGCACAUAAUACGCACAGACAUGCAUUACGUGAGAAAAAAAAGUCACAUUGAUUUUCGCGGCUUUGUUUUACAUUGACUUUUAUGAAGUUGUGGGGUUUCAUUCUAGCGUACCACUUCAAGGUAUACUUGGAACCUGCACUGAUAACCCAGUCACUCGGUUUACAAUAACUAUAAUUUAUACUCAAGAGGACAUUCACACACUACGACAAAAAAAUGCAUCACCACCCUCUACAAGACAUACAUUCGUCCACACCUUGAAUAUUGUAUCCAAGCAUGGAGCCCAAGUCUCAAGAAAGAUGUGACGGUGUUAGAAAAGGUACAGCGUAGGGCAACCAAGAUCAUCCCAAGCUUGAAAAACAAAACUUAUACAGAGAGAUUUGAGUUGAACCAUACAGUUGGAAGCAAGAAGACAACGAGGUGACUUGAUCGAGGUGCAUAAGAUCGUAAAUGGCUUGGAAGGCAUUGAGGAGAGCAAGCUCUUCCAGAUACACGACAACCCAUUCCAAGUCAGAGGACACAACCUAAAGCUCUACAAACCAGGAUUAAAGAAAGGGUUGAACUGCAGAAAAAAAACCUUCUUUUCCAGCCGAGUUAUUUCCGGAAUGGAACAACCUGCCAUCACAUGUGGUGAAUGCAGCCUCAACCAACCUGUUUAAGAACCAACUUGAUGCCUUGGAAAAUUUUGGAUAUGGGGUCAUAAAGACUUAGCCUAUUCAAUUCCAUCAACCUAAGUCAGCAAGUA
rnacentral:lncRNA from 1 species